UGUAAGCUCAACAUUAUUUCUAUUUUUUCCCCAGUUUUUGGUCUACCUUUUGUUUGAACCAAUCUUCAAUUCUUCCUUGUAGGUGGUUGAUUAGAAUUCGACUUCUGGGCCUGCAAAGACAAUUGUUGUCAUCACGUCACGUCUCCUAAGUGAUGCUUAUAGAUACAUUUUACAUUACUUGAGUGAACUUUAGAUUGUGUGCAGCUGUGCUGUAUUUACAUGCAUUUCAGAGAUGGCGGAUGAUAAUACGGGUAAGACUAUUGCUAAAGCCCCGAAAAAGUCAAAAAAGAAGAGUCCGUUUAUACCACUAGAGGGCAUAGUGUCAGGUACCCUUAGGAUUGGACUCAGACAUCUAUCUCCUCCCCCAUACCGUUCACCACGUGGCCCUCCAUUUCCCCAUUAUGGGGAAGUCAAUGGGUUGGCAUUUAGUCAGCCGACUAGUCAUGUCACAAUGCACCCAUUUUUUUGGCCUCAGGUCCAAACAAAACCAUAAACUAAAUCUCAGUCCCCUGGCACACCACGCACCAUCUUGCAUGGCCUCCUUGAUUAUUAUCAUGUAUCACAGCGAGCAACAAUGAGCGGUACUCCGACAGCUACUCAAGCUUGACUGUGUCACAGCCAUCGACCUCAUAUAACCCAAAUGAUGUGACGUCGGGGCGUCAAGAAAGUAGCUCUGAUUCUGAUGACGAACCUCGCCGACAAGGAGACCCAAAGUAACUUGAGACUUAUGAUGAGUAUGGUCGUCUCAUAAUCAAGCCAGUUGGACACGGGAAAGUAUAUUGAAUUUGCAUAAGUUUUUACUUUAUUUUAAAACAUCUAAGGUAAUAUUUUAAUUAUUUCAUCAUCUUGAUGAAGCUUCUUUCCAGGCGUAGUAACUAAAAGGGCUUCAAAGUUGGUCAAGCAACUGUAAAGAGGCGUCAUUUUGUCUUGGGGCAAGGUGUCAGUGAAUCUGAAGAAGCAGAUGUUUGUAGAGUUCAGGAAAAAGUGUUUUUGGAAGCCGAAACAUGAGAAAUUAGUAGCGCAUAAAUUAGAGAAAAAGGCGGGUAAUAUACUUAAGCAGGCGUUACGUAGAGGCCGUGUCAAUGUCCUGCAGCCUAAGUGGAUCCAUGAUGAUCACUGGAAGGAGCUGCAGCACUUCUGGACGAUUGAUCCGAUAUUUUUGAAGCAAAGUGAAAAUGGGAGGAAGGCCAGGGCCUCAGAGAAGGGUGGAUUUCGACACACUAGUGGGGCCACCAGCCACGAGGACGUUAGGAUGAAGCUGAUAUGUAACCCUCUGUAGCUUUGGCGGUCUAUUAUGCAAUUUAAUCUUUCCAUAGCUUUGGUUAUGUUGUUAUAUUGAAGGUAAGGCAAAUUAAGAUAUAGAAGGGGUUAAAUGGGUUCCAUUCCGAGCUUGCUGCUCAUCGUGUUGAUGAAACUUUUAUUGAUGACAUUAUAUGCUACUAAUACAACUAGA